ACGCCCCUAGGCUGCGUGGAGUUCCUCUCCCGCCCCACCAUGGCCUUUGUGCGGCUCCGGGAGGCCGUGGAGUUGGACGCAGUGUUGGAGGUGCCAGUGCCUGUGCGUUUCCUCUUCCUGCUGCUGGGCCCGAGUAGCGCCAACAUGGACUACCACGAGAUCGGCCGCUCCAUCUCCACUCUCAUGUCAGACAAGGUCAGCUACCCUCCUCCUCUGGGCCCUGCUUCCUGGAGCCCAUCCUGGGCCAGUCUUGAUCCCCAUGACUGCCUCCCGCCCACUGGCCUUGCCCACCCUCAGCUCCAGGCCCUCAGCCCUCUUCUUUGUGCCCUCCCCGAUCCCCAUCCUGCUUUGGCAGCAAUUCCACGAGGCAGCCUACCUGGCUGACGAGCGGGAGGACCUGCUGACGGCCAUCAACGCCUUCCUGGACUGCAGCGUGGUGCUGCCGCCCUCAGAAGUGCAGGGCGAGGAGCUGCUGCGCUCUGUGGCCCACUUCCAGCGCCAGAUGCUCAAGAAGCGAGAGGAGCAGGGCCGGCUGCUGCCUACAGGGGCUGGGCUGGAGCCCAAAUCUGCCCAAGAUAAGGCGCUCCUGCAGAUGGUAGAGGCGGCAGGGGCAGCUGAAGAUGAUCCCCUUCGGCGGACGGGGCGGCCCUUCGGGGGGCUGAUCCGAGAUGUGCGGCGCCGCUAUCCCCACUACCUGAGUGACUUCCGAGAUGCACUUGACCCUCAGUGCCUGGCUGCAGUCAUCUUCAUCUACUUUGCCGCCCUGUCUCCUGCCAUCACCUUUGGGGGGCUG
rnacentral:sRNA from 1 species